UACGGAGGGUGCAAGCGUUAAUCGGAAUUACUGGGCGUAAAGCGAGUGUAGGUGGCUAUGUAAGUCGGAUGUGAAAUCCCCGGGCUCAACCUGGGAACUGCAUUCGAUACUGCAUGGCUAGAGUCUGAUAGAGGGAAGUGGAAUUCCAGGUGUAGCGGUGAAAUGCGUAGAUAUCUGGAAGAACACCAGUGGCGAAGGCGGCUUCCUGGAUCAAGACUGACACUGAGGCUCGAAAGCGUGGGGAGCAAAC
rnacentral:rRNA from 1 species